rnacentral:snRNA from 1 species
GCUCACUUCCUUGGCACUGUACUAAAAUCCAAUAAUACAGAGAUUAGCAUGGCCCUUAUGCAAGGAUGACAUGAAAAUUCACAAAACAUUCCAUAUUUUU